UUCUGUUGCUUAAUCUCCAAGCGAAGGUUGAGAGAGCGAGAGAGAUAGAGCGGGAGAGUAGCAGCCGGCUCUUGGUGUGGGGCGAGAGCAACAAAGAUAGCAGCAAACUGGUUUUUUUUUAUUCUUCCAUAAACAUCGUGCUCUAAGAACAAUGUACUAGCAAACAGACUCGGACACACAUGUGGUGAAAGUCUCUGUGGCGGCAGAACCGGCAAGAGCCACUAACAAAAUGAAUUUGCACAGCUGUUUUAUUAUUACUCUCACGCUCUCUCGCACACUGCUUUAUCUACAAAUUGCUAACCGAGUUUUUGUUCCUAUAUUUUUUCACUGACGUGUACUUUGCCAAAGACCAAAGAGAGAGCCGGAUCACAAUGCGUGGAGGAAGCUUUAAAUCUGCUAUAAAUGACGUGUAAAAAGCUGAUUGAAUGGCAUGCACACAUACAUCCAUACGUACAUGAUGCACGCACACAACACAGCCAGACAGAAGAAGAAGAAGGAGCGGCAGAGACGGCGAUAAAGUUGGCGCAAGCGCCCUAAAGCUAGACUACAGGAGUUUGGGUACAACAAUAGCUGAGAAAUGGGCCUGUAGGGACCGUUCGCCGCAUACGUCAGAGUUCCCAGACAUGUCCAAUAUGAACAGCGGAAUAUGUGAAUGAACUUUGCGGCUAAUUUGUUAAUAACAUACGCUACGGUAAUUUAUGCGUUACCAACUGCUAUGAAUAGGCACAGCUUUGCGCAUAAAUUGGUUAAUUAUGCACAGCACGGCCAGAAAUGCCACACGUCACAGUGCCGCAUAGGCCGGAAUACUCGAAUAAAAAGAUGUUAACGUCAACUGAAUUUGUUGCAAUGCAACCAAACGAAA